rnacentral:ncRNA from 1 species
UUAGUUGAUCUUACUAGUAGUCAUAUGUCUGUUUCAAAGAUUAAGCCAUGAAUGUAUAAAUAUAAAUUGUUUUAUAUUGUGAAAUUGUGAAUGGCUUAUUAAAUUAAUAAUAGUUUAUUUGAUAGUACCUUACUACUCAGAUAACUAUAGUAAUUCUAUAACUAAUAUGUGUAAAGAGUCCUGACCUUCAAAAGGGAUGCACUUACUAGAUUCAAGACUAAUGCGUACUCAUUUAUAUUCUCAGUGGUUCAUGAUAACUUGUCAAAUCAUAUGGUCCUCGUGUCAGUGAUACUUAAAUUAAAUUUCUACCCUAUCAACUUUUGAUGGUAGGAUAUAAUAGGGAAUUAGGGUUUGAUUUUGAGACACAGAUACCACAUCUAGGGAAGGUAGCAAACGCACGAAUUAUCCAAUUCUGACAUUGGGAGGUACUAACAAUAAAUAAUAAUACCGGCCUUUCAAAAUUUGGUAAUUGGAAUGAGUACAAUAUAAAUCUCUUAAGGAAGAUUCAUUAGAGGGCACGUCUAGUGCCAAUAGCUAUAGUAAUUCUAAUUCUAAUAACAUGUUAUUAUAGUUAAAAAGCUCAUUUGGAUCUCAGGACAAGAUGAAUGGUUUCCCUAUAUGCACUAGUCACCCCAUUCUAUGAGUCAAUGAUGCUAAUUUGAUCUUUACUGGCUAGGGUGUGGAGUCUGAUAAUGUUAUUUUGAAAAAAUUAAAGUGCUCAAAACAAACUCAUACUCUAAAUGCAUUAGUAUGGAAUAAUGUAAUAGGACUCUAAUCCUGUUGUGUUGGUCUCCAAGAUAUGAGUAAUGAUUAGUUGGGACAAUUGAGGGCAUUUGUACUCUAUUGUUAGAGAUGAAAUUCUUAAGCAUUUGCUGAGGAUGCUUUUAUUAAUCAAGAAUGAAAGUUAGGAGCUCAAAUAUGAUUAAAUACCAUUUUAGUCUUAACCAUAGAUGAUGAUGAUUAGGGAUUGGCAGAUGUUAUUUGGAUGACAAUGCCAUCACCUCAUGAAAAAUCAAAGUCUUUGAGUUCCA